GAUUAGCUCUCUCUACCUCUUCUCUUAAGGUUCUCUCUCUCUCUUCUCUGUCCUCUCGAUCCAUUCUUUCUCUCUCCUCUCGAUCUCUCCUAUCUCUCUCUUCCUCUCCUCGACGGUCAUGUCGGCUACGCCCACUUCUAUUAUCUGAACCUGCACUCGAACUUGAACCCGAUCUGGCACUACUCGACGACAUGACCGUUUCGAACGACAGCUGAAAAAGGUCUGAGGGGUAAGACCGAUAGGGGGCCAGAAGAAAACUCACUUUGAAAGACAGCUAAUAAACGGGUCAACACAAGGUUUUAGUUACAUGAACAGGAGAAACUUCCAAUUGUAAUUCACGCGUUCAACUACAGAGUCAAAAUUUCUUGAAUUAUGACGGUGAGAGCAGAGAGUUAUUGGGCGGUGAAACUAAUGCCAGAUGACACACCGUAAUCCCUGAAGCCGAGCCCUAAAACAAUGGAUUUUGCCACGAUUCACGGGAAAUCAAGAAACAAGUGCCUUUGUUGUUGUAUUGACAAAUUUUAAGAGCGUUCUUGAAGUACAGACUCGGGGAUUCAGCAGUUGCCAAUAGAGUAGCAUGUGGAUGAGGAUAAGUAAUAAUUAAACUUCGAUAGCGUAGAAGUCACGGUGAACGUGUCUGACUCAUCGUUGGGAAAAAGUUGUUUUCCAACACAAUGCAGUUAUACAAAUCUACCGGAACACUUUGCGUCAAAGUUUGAGGUUUCAGAAAAUCAAAUUCAGGUAUCAUACUUCACCAACUGUAGUGUGAAAAGUGAGCGACUCGUCUUCGGUAAGCAAAAGCUUUCACCUAAACGAACAGUUGCCUCGAUCUUGGUCAGUAUUACUCAAAUCCCGUUUAAAUUUAAGAACUGGUAAAGAAA